CAAUUUUUGAACGCAAAUGAUUAAAUAUUAUAUGUUCAACUGUAGUUUCCCGUAUCUGAGGAACGCCUCCUUUCGUGUGGCUGAACUUUGACGUCACUGCAGAGCGACCUGCAGUUGUGGGACGAGCAUUACCCUGGAGUCUCGCUUGUUGACGGCGAAGAGAAAUCCUUUCGUUCCGAAAAUUCCAUGGUGUUUGUAAGCUAAAACCAAUCCCUGAAAAUGGUAAACACGUGCGUGGUUCAGUUUUGUCGCAAUUCCAAUUAUUCUGGUCACAGUUUACAUUCCUUUCCCAAAGAUCCAAGCCUCAGAAGACAAUGGGUCAGGUUUGUGCGAACGAAGAGAGCAAAUUUUCCCAAACCCGGUCUGCAGUCCGUUAUAUGUAGUGAACAUUUCACCCCGGACUCUUUUACUGGCGGACUCAUGUCUGAGAUGGGGUUUAAGUGUAAAAAACUGUUAAAAGCUGGAUCAGUGCCUACCAUACAGCCGGUUCCGACACCUGAACAGAUCGGCGUCGCGAAAGGCACGAAACGGAAACUUGGAUCAGCCGCCGAACCUGGAAACGCUCCGACAAGCUUAGCCCCCCCACAGAAAGUACCAAAACUGCGAAGAGCUUUUGUUAAAAGACGAGUUGCGGAGAUAUUGCAGGAAGCAUCUUCUGUACAAGAGGUUGACCUCGAACCAGCAGAUGCUGAAUCUUUGGUACAUUCCGAAAGCUGCCAGACUGAAAAAGUGCCUGGUCAUAAUAAAGGAACACAGUUAUCUGCCCUGAAGUGCCAUUAUCGUUCCAAAGGUAUCAAUGUAGCCUGCAAGAUGGUUGAUAAAAGUUCCCAAACUGACAGUACCCGCACAAUCUAACCUGAUGUCGCAAUAGACGGGGGAACGCAGACUGAUCCCAUUGGCUUUUUUUUUUUUCCCAUUUGGUGAGAAUGCUAACGCUCCCCGAAAGCAGAACCAGAAUACUUCUAUGUCAAGCCACUGGGUCGAAUUGAGGAUACAAACCCGAGUGAUGCAAUUAAAGGACACAGAAUAUCAACCUUCGAACAUUUCAUCAAAGGAAGCGAAACAGAAGCGGCAAAAGAAAAACCACCAGCGUCGAACCUUGUCAGUGAAAUGAAGUACAUAGUGUUUGAGAAUAAUUUAACGUAUGUCCUCUAUGUAUUUCAACCUCAGGUGUUCUCAAAAGACUCUUAUUGAAAGACCAAAUCAUAAUUCUGUGUGAAUGUUAUGAGACACACAAAAAAGUGCAAUAAAAAUGCUAUGAUUCUA